rfam:Triticum aestivum genome assembly, contig: Triticum_aestivum_CS42_TGACv1_scaffold_055135_1BS
GGAUGCGAUCAUACCAGCACUAAAGCACCGGAUCCCAUCAGAACUCCAAAGUUAAGCGUGCUUGGGCGAGAGUAGUACUAGGAUGGGUGACCUCCUGGGAAGUCCUCGUGUUGCAUUCC